rnacentral:ncRNA from 2 species
UGACGUCAACGCGACUGGCGCAGUCAAGGUGGAGGCGACCACCGGGGAGCGACCGUAGUCCGCGCACCGCGCGCCUGGGUGUUCGGG